rnacentral:rRNA from 1 species
CAACCUCGGGCAGUGGCGGACGGGUGAGUAACGCGUAGGAAUCUGUCUUUGGAUGGGGGACAACCGUGGGAAACUACGGCUAAUACCGCAUGAUGCCUGAGGGCCAAAGCUCGCGAGAGCGUCUGAAGAGGAGCCUGCGUCUGAUUAGGUAGUUGGUGGGGUAAAGGCCUACCAAGCCUGCGAUCAGUAGCUGGUCUGAGAGGAUGAUCAGCCACAUUGGGACUGAGACACGGCCCAAACUCCUACGGGAGGCAGCAGUGGGGAAUAUUGGACAAUGGGCGCAAGCCUGAUCCAGCAAUGCCGCGUGGGUGAAGAAGGUUUUCGGAUUGUAAAGCCCUUUUGGCGGGGACGAUGAUGACGGUACCCGCAGAAUAAGCUCCGGCUAACUUCGUGCCAGCAGCCGCGGUAAUACGAAGGGGGCUAGCGUUGCUCGGAAUGACUGGGCGUAAAGGGCGCGUAGGCGGCUUGUACAGUCAGGCGUGAAAUUCCUGGGCUCAACCUGGGGACUGCGUCUGAUACGUGCUGGCUUGAGUAUGGAAGAGGGUCGUGGAAUUUCCAGUGUAGAGGUGAAAUUCGUAGAUAUUGGAAAGAACACCGGUGGCGAAGGCGGCGACCUGGUCCAUUACUGACGCUGAGGCGCGAAAGCGUGGGGAGCAAACAGGAUUAGAUACCCUGGUAGUCCACGCUGUAAACGAUGUGUGCUGGAUGUUGGGGUGCUUAGCACUUCAGUGUCGUAGCUAACGCGGUAAGCACACCGCCUGGGGAGUA